rnacentral:lncRNA from 1 species
CCAAGAUCCAAUCUCAUCCAAGAUCCAAUCUCAUCCAAGAUCCAAUCUCAUCAAGGAUCCAAACCUCA